rnacentral:rRNA from 1 species
GACGAACCGUGCGAACGUUAUUCGGAAUCACUGGGCUUAAAGGGCGCGUAGGCGGGCAACCAAGUCCGGGGGUGAAAUCCUCCCAGCUCAACUGGAGAAGUGCCUCGGAUACUGGCUGCCUCGGAGGAGGGUAGGGGCAUCUGGGAACUAGCGGUGGAGCGGUGAAAUGGCGUUGAUAUCGCUAGGAACGUCCGGUGGCGAAGGCCGGUUCGUCUGGGCAUUACCUGACGCUGGAGGAGCGAAAGCGUGGGGAGCGAACAGG